rnacentral:lncRNA from 1 species
AAGUGAAUUUUAAAAUUUAUUUAAUUUUAAUUAAUUAAACUAGCUACAGGGAUUAGAAUCACUGAGAAGAAACUCUAAUGACAGAUUCUCAUUAAGACUGGGGCAAAUUCUAGAAACUGAUGUUUAACCAAAGCUCCCCCUGGUGAUUCUAAUGCAUGUAUGCACAAAAUAGUUUUCAGAUUUGGAACUUGGUAGGUAUAUAAAAGUUUUUCAAAUAGCAGUGGUCUUUUUGAGGUUUAGGUGCCCUAGCUCAAGAGAUUGUAGGAGAGAAUAAAGGAAAUGAGAUGUCACCCAUUCCUCAAAGAGCUGAGAGGAAAUCUGCUUCCAUCCUUGCUUAUACUACAGGAAAUACCAAGAACAGAAUACAUUCUGUUUUGUUUUAUUUCAAGUAUCAUAUUUUAGGUAGGUAAAAAGCUCUCAUUUUAACAGAUCAUACAAAUGGGAACACAAGACUUAAAAUAUCAGCUUGUAGAGGCACUUCCACUAACUACAAAUAUUAUUUAGCACCAAGUUUUAGAACAUAAAUCACAACCAGACUGCAACAUAGGCACCAAGUAAAACCGUGUGUUCCCAUGCCUUUGCUAGUUUUUGCUUCGUAGGUGGGAUCAUAAAGAAGUUUUCUUUGGAGUUCCCGUCGUGGCGCAGUGGUUAACAAAUCUGACUAGGAACCAUGAGGUCGCAGGUUCGAUCCCUGGCCUUGCUCAGUGGGUUAAGGAUCCGGCGUGGCUGUGAGCUGUGGUGUAGGUUGCAGACAUGGCUCGGAUCCUGCGUUACUAUGGCUCUGGCACAGGCCGGUGGCCACAACUCUGAUUAGACCCCUAGCCUGGGAAACUCCAUUUGCGGCAGGAGCGGCCCAAGAAAUGGCAAAAAGACAAAAAAAAAAAAAAAAAAAAAAAUACACUUUUAAAAAUUGAAAGGCAUCACCUUCAAAGGCAUCACCUCAGUUAUCUUCUGUCAGUUGUUCCUUCAAAGGCAUCACCUCAGUUAUCUUCUGUCAGUUGUUCCUGCAGAAUACACUUUUAAAAAUUGAAAUAUAGUU